ACCGGGGCCACCCCCACCUUCUCUCGAAUAACUUCAUUCUUAAUCUUAUCUAAUCUGGUGAGACCGCACAUCCACCUGAGCAUCCUCAUCUCCGCAACCUUCAUUCUCUGAACAUAGAGUUCUUCACUGGCCAGCACUCUGUCCCAUACAACAUGGCAGGUCUAACCACAUCUCUAUAAAAUUUCCCCUUUGAGUUUUUGUGGAACUUUCUUGUCACACAGGACUCCUGAUGCAAGCCUCCACUUUGA
rnacentral:lncRNA from 1 species